CGGUUGAUCCUGCCGGACCCCACCGCUAUCGGGGUAGGACCAAAACAUGCAAGUCGAGCGUCUGCCAACUAGCUAUUGUGGAGACGCGGCAUACGGCUCAGUAACACGCGGCCAACCCACCCUUGAGACGGGGACAACCCCGGGAAACUGGGGUUAAUCCCCGAUAGAAGGAGACACCUGGAAUGGGUCUCCUUCCAAAGAACGCCUAAACCAUGCUUUUAGGCGUUGCUCAAGGACGGGGCCGCGGCCGAUCAGGUUGUUGGUGAGGCAAAGGCUCACCAAACCUAUAACCGGUACGGGCCGUGAGAGCGGGAGCCCGGAGAUGGGCACUGAGACAAGGGCCCAGGCCCUACGGGGCGCAGCAGUUGCGAAAACUCCGCAAUACACGAAAGUGUGACGGGGCUACCCCGAGUGCCGCCCGCUGAGGGCGGCUUUUCCCCGGUGUAAGGAACCGGAGGAAUAAGGAGAGGGCAAGUCUGGUGUCAGCCGCCGCGGUAAUACCAGCUCUCCGAGUGGUGGGGAUAAUUAUUGGGCUUAAAGCGUCCGUAGCCGGCCUAACAAGUCUCCCGUUAAAUCCAACGAUUCAAUCGUUGGACUGCGGGAGAUACUGUUAGGCUAGGAGGCGGUAGAAGCCGACGGUAUUCUCGGGGUAGGGGUAAAAUCCUAUAAUCCCGGGAAGACCACCAGUGGCGAAGGCUGUCGGCUGGAACGCGCUCGACGGUGAGGGACGAAAGCUGGGGGAGCGAACCGGAUUAGAUACCCGGGUAGUCCCAGCUGUAAACGAUGCGGGCUAGGUGUUGAAGCGGCUACGGGCCGCUUCAGUGCCGCAGGGAAACCAUUAAGCCCGCCGCCUGGGAAGUACGGCCGCAAGGCUGAAACUUAAAGGAAUUGGCGGGGGAGCAC
rnacentral:rRNA from 1 species